rnacentral:rRNA from 1 species
GACGAAGGGGGCUAGCGUUGUUCGGAAUUACUGGGCGUAAAGCGCGUGUAGGCGGCUGCCAAAGUCGGGUGUGAAAGCCUUGAGCUCAACUCAAGAAUGGCACUCGAUACUUGGUGGCUAGAGGACCGGAGAGGAUAGUGGAAUUCCCAGUGUAGUGGUGAAAUGCGUAGAUAUUGGGAGGAACACCAGUGGCGAAGGCGGCUCGCUGGGACGUUACUGACACUAAGGCGCGAAAGCGUGGGGAGCGAACAGG